rnacentral:rRNA from 1 species
AUUGAACGCUGGCGGCAGGCCUAACACAUGCAAGUCGAACGGUAACAGGAAACAGCUUGCUGUUUCGCUGACGAGUGGCGGACGGGUGAGUAAUGUCUGGGAAACUGCCUGAUGGAGGGGGAUAACUACUGGAAACGGUAGCUAAUACCGCAUAACGUCGCAAGACCAAAGAGGGGGACCCUCGGGCCUCUUGCCAUCGGAUGUGCCCAGAUGGGAUUGGCUUGUUGGUGGGGUAACGGCUCACCAAGGCGACGAUCCCUAGCUGGUCUGAGAGGAUGACCAGCCACACUGGAACUGAGACACGGUCCAGACUCCUACGGGAGGCAGCAGUGGGGAAUAUUGCACAAUGGGCGCAAGCCUGAUGCAGCCAUGCCGCGUGUAUGAAGAAGGCCUUCGGGUUGUAAAGUACUUUCAGCGGGGAGGAAGGGAGUAAAGUUAAUACCUUUGCUCAUUGACGUUACCCGCAGAAGAAGCACCGGCUAACUCCGUG